CCGGUGCAGUCUGGCAGCAGAGGGAAGGAAAACAGACGAGGGAAGACCUAGAGACACCCUAGGAAGACGGCUUGCAGUGCUAACUCACAGAACAGAAUUCUGGGAUGGGGAGACGGGAAGAGGUUCUGGAUACCGACUUCGAAGAUCUGGUGUCUGAAGCUCAGUGUUAAAGGGAAAAUUUGGACGCAAACAUCCAAGUACAGAGAAGAGAAUGGGAUGACACAGGGAGAGAAGACUGACAUCUACCAGCCAGGGCGGGAGGAUGCAACAGCCCCUCCCCCACAGCACUCAGAAGGAACCAGCCCUGCCCACACCUGAAUCUCAGACUCCCAGCCUCCAGAACAGUGAGAGAAUGUAUUU